UGGCUCCAGCAGCCGGCAUAGAGCAGACUGUAGGUGUGAGGCACGGGGCGGAGUGUGGGUGUGAGGGACGGGGCGGAGUGUGGGUGUGAGGGACGGGGCGGAGUGUGGGUGUGAGGGACGGGGCGGAGUGUGGAUGUGAGGCACGGGGCGGAGUGUGGGUGUGAGGCACGGGGCUUUCAUGUGGACGGGGACCUGGAGUCCUGGGCGUCGCUCGGGCAGAGCCUGCACAGCAUAUCAGGGUGUAGGCCUGGGUGGCCUCGCCUCUGAGAGGGGGUGUGUUGACUCAGCUUGGCUGCUUUGAGGCUGUGUGACCCAGUGCAGGUGGCAGAACCUCUCGGUGCUUCAGUUUCCUUCUCUGUAAGACAGGAGGGCAAUCCUAACACCUGCCGUGAGGUUGCCAGAGUUCAUUACAUCGCUUGCAUAAAGUGCUUGGACCGACGCCUGGCUCAGAGCACAGCCGUGUGACUCCUGCUGUCCACCUGCCUCCUGGAGCUGAGGAGGGUCCCCCAUGGGGUGGUCGUGCUGGGGGAUGUGUAGGUGGUUCUGGGUUUUCUCUGUUAACAGCAGUGCUGCAGGGGCCCGUGUGUGCCUCUGUCUCCCUGCCUUGGUACUCUGAGGACUUUGCUGGCUCAGGGGACUGAGAGUGGCCGGCCUCAGAAGCCCCUCACAGGCCAUGCUUUCCAUGCCCCCAGCCCCAAGGCCUGGAGAUGGAGGUGCGUGGAGUCCUCCCUCCUCUCUGUGGUUUGUAUACUGCUUCGUCGGCGGGAGAACAAAGCUGUUCUGUUCUUUGAAACCCCACCUUGCUUCCCCUGAAAUUUCUCUGAACCCAGGCGGAACCUUGGGAGCACAGAACGUCCCAGAAACAGCCUGGCAGAGCAUCAGUGCGAUAUGUGGGGGUGGGGGGUGGGGAGGGGCCUGGCCCCUACUCUUGGGAGUGGGAAGGAAUGCUGUGGUUUCUUUUGAGGCGGGCAUGACACGUGCUAAGUGAGAGGAAAGAGUUGCUCGGCCGGUGCAGACGGAUAGGCUCCAGCUCUUGGCGGUGCAGAUGGACAGGCUCCAGCUCUUGCUGAAACCCUUUCCUGCCUUUGCUUGCGGGGCACACUGGGUGAUGUGAGAUUUGGAGACGUCCCCAAAGACUCAGGCCCUCCAGAAGCCUCCCUGAACCCACAUGUCCUUCCUGGCUGCUCUCGCCAUCCUCCUUUAGGAUUUAUUUUUCAGUGAGUGAGCUGGUGGGCUUGGACACUAAAGCAGGGUGUUGAGUGUGUUUCUGGGGACUGUGUUGGGCUCUGUCAGUGCUGGUUCAACAUCCACACCGACCCGGCUGCCCUUGCAUGGAUUCCAGGUUGCGGGGAGGGCCCCGGGCUUUGGCAAUGCCUUCCAGGCUUGGUGGAAGCUUCUCAGUGGGUGGUGGGCUGGCUGACCCGAGGGCCCAGAGAUAGAAAAGGGGUCUCUGGCUUGCCCUCAGGGGGCUGGGAUGAGGACAGGACCCCAGGCGCUUGGGAGCCUCCACAGUUGCAGAGCCAGGCAGACAGCCUGGGGGCGUCCCUUCCCAUGGGGUCCAGCCUGUGGUUCCUGGGAGCCCCGACUCCAGCCUCCUCCAGAUGCCAUGGGGGGCCUGCUGGUUUAGGACCCCUUAGCCAGCUCAGUCUGUGGCUGUGGGCUGGCUCCCAGCCCCCUGUACCCACACUCUCGGGGUCAGCUGUCUGUGCGGCCUGAUCAGGAGGCCCCCGGGUAGCUUCCCUAAGGCCGUCUCUGUGGCUCAGGGGCAACUCCCUAGGGCAGUGAGGGCAGGCGUCACUCUCCCCUGCACCGGGGCCCUUCUGCCUGCUCCCCUUCCCUCACCCCUGCCACACUGUGCUGCUGGGGAGUGAGGCUGGUGCAUCAUGUACCUGCCCUGGGUGCCACGGGAGCUGGUGGUCAAGACGGGGGACUCGGACUCUGUGCAGCCCCUCAGCCCCUCUGGGCUCCCGUGCCGCCCACUGUGAGUGCAGUGCCCAUGAUGACACUGUCUGUUCUGCAGACCUUGACAGAGCUGGAGGCGCUUUUUGUUUUUUGAGUUUUUUUGUCGUUGUUUUUCCUUUUUGUUCCCCCUACCCUCUGUCUAAGGGCUAGAGGUGCUUAUUUUUCACCAAACUCACCUCCAGGAAGCAUUUUACUGGUCCUGAUUAUGCACAAAGAAAGAUGUCUGCAUGCACGACGGGCCUCCCGCAUUGUAGGGGCUGUUCUGCUCCGGGCACCCUUGUUCCGGGGCUGCACUCCCCGGGCUGUCUCAGGGGCCACGUUGUCAUGUUCCUCCUGCUGCGUGGCCCAUCAUGCGUGCCCAGGACCAGCUCAUGCCCUGUGUGACCGGCCACGUGAGCCCAGCCACAAGCAGCCGUGCGGACACUCGGGCCGUUUCCACUUUUUGGCUGUUGGGGUCAUGCUGCCAUGAACGUUUGUCUCAGUUCUCCAGUGAGCACCUAGGAGUCGAAGGUGGGGUUGCACAGGCUGUGCCUGAUUUGGCAGGGAGCUGGGAUGACGCUGCCAGGGAGCUCAUUCGCGACUCUGCCCAGGGUUUUCCUUUUCCUUUUUCUGUUUUUUUUUUUUGUGAGACAAGGUCUCGCUCUGUCAUUCAGGCUGGAGUGCAGUCCUGCGGUCAUGACUCACUGCAGCCUUGACUUCCUGAGCUCAAGAGAUCCUCCCGCCUCACCCUCUUAAGUGGCUGGGUCUACAGGUGUGCACCACCACACCCAGCUAAUUUUGCUAUUUUUCAUAGAGACGGAGUCUCACUAUGUUGCCCAAGGUGGUCUUGAACUCCUUGGGCUCAAGUGAUCCUGCCCCCUCAGCCUCCCGAAGUGCUGGGAUUACAGGUGUGAGACUCCACGCCCAGUCUUUUCUUUUUUCUUUUUUAGAGACAAGGUCGGUCUCUGUCGCCCAGGCUGGCGUGAAGUGGCGCAACCAGCUCACUGCAGCCUUGACCUCCUGGGCCGAAGCAAUCUUUCUGCCUCCACCUCCCGAGUGGCUGGGACUAUAGUUGUGCACCACCACGCCCACCUCCUGCCCAGGGUUGUUACUGGGGUGGUCACGUGGGCAGCUUCUGCCUGGGAUGGGCCACAAAGCCAGACUCCCGGCGGGGACACGGGUGUUCCACGCAAGCCGCGUUGUUGGUUCCCUGACGCCCUUCAGGCUGGGAGGUGGGAAAGCCAAGUCCCCAAGUGCCUGCAGAACCCACCUGGCGCAGGCCUCGCCACCUCGGGGCUGCUGCUCGCACUUCUGCCCCUUCCCCCGGCUAGGCCCCCGUUCCUUGAGGCCGCACCACAAGGUGUGUUCAUUUUUCCACACCGUGAGCUGGGCUUGGCAGAGCCGCCUUGUGGCCAGUAUUCCCAGUGGCCCCUUUGAGAGGAUUUCCUGGAGCUCCCUGUCUGAGCUUCCCGGACUGAGGGCAUUGGGAAGGAGCCUGCGGAGCUGGAGAUCAGCGUGUGGACGGGUCGCGCUGUCCUGGCUUUCGGAGUGUAGAGCCAGAGGGGAUGGGACAGGUGCCCUGCUGCUGGGCUUGGUGGUCCCUGCCGCAGGGAAGGGGCAGCUGGUGUGAACACAAGGAGCUGCAGGGCUGGAGAAGGCCAGGGCCAGGAGCCUGCCAACAGACACCAGCGAGGGACCAGGCCCAGGUCAGGAGACUGCCGACGGACACCAGCGAGGGGCCAGGCCCGGGCCAGGAGCCUGCCUACGGACACCAGCGAGGGGCCAGGCCCAGGCCAGGAGCCUGCCGACGGACACCAGAGAGGGGCCAGGCCGGGGCCAGGAGCCUGCCGACGGACACCAGCGAGGGGCCAGGCCGGGGCCAGGAGCCUGCCGACGGACACCAGCGAGGGGCCAGGCCGGGGCCAGGAGCCUGCCGACGGACACCAGCGAGGGGCCAGGCCAGCCCAGACUCCCUGGCCGGCUGGGGUCUGACAGGAGUGCCAGGCUCCUUGGGCUGCCCGAGGAACCGCUUGUUUGCCUCUGUUUUUUCAUCUGUAAACGGAAUGAGUUGGACACAAGAUCCAAGUGCCCUCCCCUGUUUGAGAAGGUUCUUGUGGGCUCUGGGCCCAUCCCACAUCCCACAGUGGGCAGGAGGCCACCAAGAGGUGCAAGACCAUGCCCUCUGUUUUGAUAGGAAGCUGGGCCUCAGAGGGGCCUGGGGCCUGUGUCUGAGACCCGGCCAAGUGCUGGACGUCUCCCCUUCCUCAUGGCUGUUAUGGCUGAAUUACGUCCCCCCAAAUUCUCAUGUUGCAGCCUUAACCCCAGCACCUCAGUGUGGGACUGGGUUUGGAGAUGGAGCCCCUACAGAGGUCAGCAGGUUAAAAGAGGCCAUCAGGGCUCUGGGUGGGCCCUGAUCCAAGCUGAUUGGUGUCCUUGUAAGAAGACGAGAUGAGGACACAGACACACACACAGAGGGACAGCCCCAUGAGGAAACAGGGAGGCAAUGCCGUCUGCAAGCCCAGGGGAGAGGCCUCAGGAACCAGCACUGGUGACGCCUGGACCUUGGAUCCCAGUGCCCAGGACAGUAGGAGAAUUGGAGCCGCCUGGCUGCAGUCCUUCCCGAUGGCACCCUGUAUUAGUCCGUUCUCACACUGCUAAUUGUUGGGAAAAGGGCUUGUGGGGUGCCUGUAUAAACUGGCCAUGAAAAUAUGGGACAAUAAGUUGUGGAAAGCCACAAGAGGCCUCUGAGGAGGAAAGCCUCCUAAUCGCCAUCAUGUUCGCAUGCUCAGAGUGAGACCCGCUCUCUUAUCUGUAAACACUGUGUUCAAGGAGAAGGACACUCCUUUGAAGCACUGGACUGUGGACAGACACACGAGCUCCUGGUUAAGCCCGCUCCCACCAGCUCCUGUCCGAUAAGUUAAAGAUACGCUGUUUGAGCACAAAGGAGAUUCAUUGAAACCGCUAUUGCUGUAGAUUACGCCUGUGACGUACUGCCUGCCUUUCACUGUUUCGCCCUGAACAUCUGCUUCUCAGAUCUAAGUGACUGUACUCAAUAAAUAGCGUGGAGACCAGAGCUCAGUGCCUUUUGCAGCCUCCAUUUUGCCACUGGCCCCCUGGCUCCCACCUUUAUGAACUCUUUUCUUUUUCUUUUUUUUUUUUUUUGGAGACAGAGUCUCACUCUGUUGCCCAGGCUGGAGUGCAGUGGCGCGAUCUCGGCUCACUGCAAGCUCCGCCCCCUUGGUUCAUGCCAUUCUCCUGCCUUAGCCUCCCAAGUAGCUGGGACUACAGGCACCCGCCACCACGCCCGGCUAAUUUUUUUGUAUUUUUAGUAGGGACGGGGUUUCACAGUGUUCACCAGGUUGGUCUCGAUCUCCUGACCUCACACACCACGCCCAGCUAAUUUUUGUAUUUUUUAGUAGAGAUGAGGUUUUGCCAUGUUGGCCAGGCUGGUCUCGAACUCCCGACCUCAGGUGAUCCGCCUGCCUGAGCCUCCCAAAGUGCUGGGAUUACAGGCGUGAGCCACCGCACCCGGCCCCACCUUUAUGAACUCUUAACCUGUCUCUUCUCAUUCCUUUGUCACUACCGGACGUUGGGUACACCACGGAUGGUGUUGAGGCUGGUCCCCAACACUAAUAAAGACAUACCUGAGACUGGGUCGUUUAUAAAGGAAAAAGGUUUAAUGGACUCACAGUUCAGCAGAGCUGGGGAGGCCUCAGGAAACUUACAGUUAUGGCAGAAGGGGAAGCAAACACCUCCUUCUUCACAUUGGCGGCAGGAAGGAGAAGUGCAGAGUGAGGGGCCCAGGGUUUUAAAAGCCCCUUGAAGCCAUCAGCUUUUGUGAGAACUCAGUCACUAUCAUGAGAACAAGAUGGGGGAACCACCCCCAUGAUUGAAUGACCUCCUGCCAGGUCCCUCCCACAACAUGUAGGGAUUAUGGGAACUGCAAUUCAAGAUGAGAUUUGGGUGGGGACACAGCCAGGCCAUGUCACCUCCCCAGGAAAGGAGCACAUGUGCAGCAGUGGUGAGUCCCACCCUGCCUGGAAAGAUAUUCAAAAUCUGAGGGCAGAAAGGACCAGGAGGGACCAUUGCUUGCCUCCCUCCUCCUACCCCUCACCCCAAACCCCGCCCCAGCCUGGCAGAAGCCUCCCCAGGACACACGCUCCACCGGAGGGGCAGGCUGCUGUGUGAGGCACUGACCUCGCCCGCAGUGGACACCACCUGCCCCUCCUGACCCCCAGUGACUGUUAACCCAGAGUCCAUCAGGGGCUUGGUCUCUGGCAGACCCACCCCUCAGUGCAUACACUCUGGUGUCCCAGGCAGAGCACAGGGCAGGUGCACCCCCCAGAUGCCGCACUGUGCCUGGAGCGUGGCUAGGCGCCCCCAGGUACACCCCCCAGAUGCCGCACUGUGCCUGGAGCGUGGCUAGGCGCCCCCAGGUGCACCCCCCAGAUGCCGCACUGUGCCUGGAGCGUGGCUAGGCGCCCCCAGGUGCACCCCCCAGAUGCCGCACUGUGCCUGGAGCGUGGCUUCUGAUGGCAGUCUCAGGACCUUUGCGCCACACGUCCUCCCGUGCGACGGCUCCUGGGGAAAGCCAAAGGCGUCCCUUCCAGCAGGAGCCAGCGACUGGUACGCAGGAGGGCCCUCGGGGCAGGAGCCAUGGAGCCCUCCUCUGGUGUGGGAAUUCAGGGGAUCUUAGCCACAGGGCAUGGCGCGUGGGCGCAGAGCCGGCCGUGACCCACCAGUGCAUAAUACUUGUACUUUGCUAUUCUAGGAACCCAUACAUCAGUUUUCCUUAUUUGCUGAAAAAGGCAUGCAUUAGAGGGGUGAUUCAUGUGGGAGGAGGCCAGGAGCCCCUCGAUGUGAGGUGUUUCUCAUGGGCGAAUGUGGGGUAUCCAUGGUGGACCCCCACCCUGUGUGGAUGGCUGCCCCCUGAGCAGUGCUUUGAGCUGGAGCUGUGGUCAGGUUCCGCAGUGCAGGAAGGGCUCCCAGGAGGCUGGUGGUCCCGCCUGCAGGAAGCCGAUGCGUCUGUCCUCACACAUUGAUAUGCCUGUCUGCCUGGGACGGACACUUCACCCUGGCUACCCAUCGGGCCAAGGGCAGGUUGUAUACACCUGGGCUGAGGCCUCUUUCUCAUUCACAUUUAUCUCUUGCUCAGGAGUUGAUCUAAGACAGGCUCUAAUUGCACCUUAAUAAGCUUGUUGGGGAGGAGUUGGGGGUGGGGACAUAACAAGCCCUACCUGCCAGGGUAUCCGGGUGCCAGUGGCCGAGCACCCCGGCCUGAAUAGCUGGGAGCUAAUGCAGGAGACGCUGGGAAACAAGAGGCUGUGACAUUGUGGGGAGGGAGUAGCCAGGGGCCUUCCGGACAGCAAUGGGGGAGCAAAGCAGCUGUGAGCUGGUGUGUCUCUCCCCACGCUCCUCCUGUACCUGGGACGCAGCUCCCACAGGAACUGGCAGUGGGAGUGUGGGGGCCACGGAGGUCGUAGUAACAAUCCCUGACAGUGUAGGGGCAGGGGGCACGCAGGGGGCUCGCAGGG